rnacentral:rRNA from 1 species
CCUACGGGCGGCUGCAGUGGGGAAUAUUGCACAAUGGGCGCAAGCCUGAUGCAGCCAUGCCGCGUGUGUGAAGAAGGCCUUCGGGUUGUAAAGCACUUUCAGCGGGGAGGAAGGCGGUGAGGUUAAUAACCUCAUCGAUUGACGUUACCCGCAGAAGAAGCACCGGCUAACUCCGUGCCAGCAGCCGCGGUAAUACGGAGGGUGCAAGCGUUAAUCGGAAUUACUGGGCGUAAAGCGCACGCAGGCGGUCUGUCAAGUCGGAUGUGAAAUCCCCGGGCUCAACCUGGGAACUGCAUUCGAAACUGGCAGGCUAGAGUCUUGUAGAGGGGGGUAGAAUUCCAGGUGUAGCGGUGGAAUGCGUAGAGAUCUGGAGGAAUACCGGUGGCGAAGGCGGCCCCCUGGACAAAGACUGACGCUCAGGUGCGAAAGCAUGGGGAGCAAACAGGAUUAGAUACCCUAGUAGUC